UGCAAUUUUCAUCGAUUAAAAUAAUUAACACGUCAUGGCCCACAAAACUGAGAAAUAUAAUAUAUUAUAAGAUACACGAGUUAAACGGGUUCGAUUCGUUUACUUAGCAUUACGACACUGCUUCCCUCCCACAUUAGUUCUUCCUUGAGAUUGUCGAAUUCUUCGUUCGACAUGAUAGACUUUCCUUCGUAAUAGAAUGACUGCGACAAAAGUAGGAGUCGAGAACAUCUUUUAGUAUAUACCGAACAACAAAAUGUUUCAAUGCACUAUGAAAAUACGUACGGAGGUAUAUAUAUAUAUAUAUAUAUAUAUAUAUAUAUAUAUAUAUAUAUAUAUAUAUAUAUAUAUAUAUAUAUCAUUAAUUAAUUACCUGAAGUGCUUGUAGAAAUUCUUGCUCCAUUUCCCCCAUGGUUCGUUUCUGUUUUUUGUCGAGGCUGCAAUACUGCAAUACGUUGCUAUCGACAACUUCAUCUUCUUGGAUCUGACCUGAAAGUGAACAUAGGAUUCGAUAGGAAACUAAAACGUUAAUCCCAUCGUUUUUGCAUUGGAAACCGGUCUGUCUAUUAACAUGUACCACAAUAGAAAACACACAUAAACACAAUUCAGAAAACACAAAAGGCCAAAUUUCACUAAUAGUCCCUCAUCUUAUUAUUUAGUUCCGCUUCAGUCCUUCAUAUCUCUAUUGUCUCGUUUUCAUCCCUCAGUGUUAUAAUUCAUCUCAUUAUAGUCCUUUUUAUAAAAAUAUAACUUAAAAAAUAUACAACAUAUUAAUUUAUAUUAAUAUACAAAUAAUCAUUUAGAUUUAUUUUGUUGAUAUGGCUUGAAUUUAGUAACAUAUCAAAUGAUUAUAAUAUAUCAUCUACAUAUUUUGUAUGAUUUUAUGUUAAUAUUCAAAUAAAAAAAACUAAUUCGAUUAUAUAUGUUAUUCUAUUGUUCUUAUUUUGUUUACAGUCCAUCAAACAUAAUUAUAAGAAUAGAAUAUACCAUCCAUUAAAUAAAAGAUUCCGUUAAAGUUAACUAAAUUAUACAACAGAAGGACUAAAAUGAGAUGAAUUGUAGGGUUGAAGGAUGAAAAUGAGACAACAGAAACAUAAAGGACUAAAGUGGAACUAAAUAAUAAGAUGAGGGACUAUUAGUGAGAUUUAGAGAAAUUCAUUUAUCCCCAAUUCAACUAUUCAUAAAUAACCUAAAUCAAUACUUGGAAAUUGAUUGAACAACCAUUUGUUUUAAGAAGCAGAAAGCUGACCUGGCUGAUCGGCGGUGGCCUUGGGAGAAAUAACCACCAAUCUGCGGCGGAGAGAUAAUUUCCUCGGGCCGAACUGAAUUGAGUGGACUCUAGGAGCAGAGGUUGGUAAAGAAGAGACGGAGACGAAGGGGUUUCUGAACUGGGCGGUCAACAAUCUUGGUUUGGCUGCAGCGAACCCAAGUUUGGCGGCCAUUUUUGGCGGCGGCGGCGGCGGUGGAAGGAGUACAGUGGGUGCUGCGAUUUGGGAGAUGGGGGCAUUUGAGAAAUUUGAUGGGGUAUGGUGGAGAGGUGAGAGGUUAAGGAUAAGGCGAGGAGGGGAAUAUGUGUGGAGGGAAAAUAUUACAGCUUUUUGAUUAUUUGAUUUUUGCUAAAUAAAAUCUUGCUGUCGUGUUGUUGAUGACACGUGUCUUGACUGUUGUUUUCACGUGUUAGUCACGUGCGGUGCUCGCCUGCUUUGAGCUUGGUGUGCGUGAAUUGGCAGCCAACUAUAUUGGUGUACUGAGUAAAUUGACACUCUCCCCUAUAAUAACUUACAAAUAUACAAGAAAUGACUAAUUUCUAUUACGAAUUCCCUUCUCGGUUUGGACAUAAAGAUUACUACCAAAUUGCAAAUAAUUUCUUUGUUUUGCACCUAUAAAAUAUUGAGGCAUUCUUCUAAUUAAUUGAGGAUAUAUAUUUUCUGACCAAAAAUGUCAAUUGUCUGUCGAAAACAUAUUCUCAGACACACUCAAACACAACGCAGCUCGCAUGCAAGAAUCAAGAGAAAAGUCACUCUUUAGGACCCUCCGCAAAAAUUAAGUAUGAUUACACUCAAUUCGAGGAUGCCAAAUGAAACAUGCAACAUACAUGUAGUCAACAUAAUAGGGCACGAGCAGUUUCAAAAAGGGGAUGUUCUUUCUUUUAUGUACUUCAUGUUUAGAUGGGUAUUAACACACGAGGUUUGAUGAAGAAUGCAUUUUGAAGCAUCUAAGAUUGAAAAGUAGUAGGCAAAUAUUAUUUUGUCGUAUCACUUCGCAGAGUGUGGAUUGACGCAUUGAAUUGAGUUUGAAUUUGAGGCAUAUAAAGUACAAAAAUGAGUGAAUAGCUCAGAACGAGUCUUUAUAAAAUAUAUCCAAGUAACACGAGAAUAAUCGUCAACAAAGGUAACAAAAUGCCUAAAUCCAAUUUUAGACACGACUAGACAAGUACCCAAACAUCAGAAUGGACUAAUUCGAAAUGAGAACUAGCUUUUUUAUUAACUCUAGGACUAGAGCUAAGAUGAUUGUGUUUAACAAAUUGAUACGACUCGCAAUCUAAAGAAGACAAAGUACUAAACUGAGGACAUAAUAUCUUGAGCAGAAGAAGAGAUGGAUGGCCAACCUACAAUGUGUCUCGAAACGAGAUGUGACACCAGCCCAAGUCAGUGACUUGUGAAUUUGUGUGUCAAGAAAGUAGAAAG
rnacentral:lncRNA from 1 species